rnacentral:lncRNA from 1 species
UUGGAAAUUUCAAAAUGGCCGCCGUUGUCAUGGAAACAGCUAAAAAAAAAAAACUCGAAAAUUUGAGACAAAAUUCUGUGAUUAAGACUAUGUGCAAAACAUCUUCUAGAAUAUGAUAGAAGAAAACGAAUAUAUAAUUUAACGUGCGUCUUUCUAUUCUAUACAAAAAUCGUGCUCUGAAGAGAAAAUCGCCACUGAGAGAGAGAGAAACACGAAGAGUACACAUAAUUGACAUUUCUGCACUUGCAUUAAAGUACACAUCCGUUAAUUGAACACCUGCAAAAAUAUACACAUUAGCUGAAAUCAAUCGAUAAGCGUGUAAUUAAAUUGUACAAGAUAAAAUACAUGUAUCGUGUGAUACGCGAGAUAUUUUAAGAAUAAAAUGAACAGUUAGUAUGCCGCUCCGU